rnacentral:siRNA from 1 species
GAAAGAGUGAUAACAUAUAUGGG